AAAAACAUAUUUUUUAGAGAUGAUUAAAAAUGAGUCCUGCUCAAUGUAAAAUAAAUAGCCGCGGUAUUUUGACCGUGCAAAGGUAGCAUAAUAAUUAGUCUUAUAAUUUAAGACUGGGAUGAAGGGAUAAACCAGGAAGUUUCUUUCUUAGCUUUUCCUUUUGAAUUUUACUUUUUAGUAAAAAGGCUAAAAUAUUUCUUUCAGACAAGAAGACCCUAUAAAGCUUUACAUAUAAUAAUCUAAAAAAAUUAGGAAUAUGUUUCACUGGGGCGGUGGAAGGAUAAACACUUUUAGAGGGCUAAAAUAGAAUUAUUUUAAUACCCAAAAAUUUUGAAGCUUAAAUAAGUUACUUUAGGGAUAACAGCGUAAUGUAUUUCGAAAGCUCAAAUUGACAAAUAUGUUUGCGACCUCGAUGUUGGAUUAAGCUUCCACUAUUCCGCAAGAGGAAUAAAUGGGGGUCUGUUCGACCCAUAAAAGCUUCCA
rnacentral:rRNA from 2 species